GCGUCAGUAGUGUAAAGGUAAGGGCACGCGUUCCUUGAAAGAAUGAGGUGCGGGCUCUAGUCCCGCUUGACGCG